GCCAUAUAGCAGCUGCGGCUAGCGGAUUAGCCUGCAGCUCUGGUUCAGGGAGGCAAUGAUGUAGGAAGGGAGAGGCUGCUGGAUACAGGGAUGCCCAGAGUGAGCGGACUUUGUAUGUUUCCCAGUCAGCUCCUGGUUUCUCAUGUUGCAGCUGUGCUCUUUUUAUAUAACUGGGAAAUUUAUAUGGAGGCCAAUAGCAAUCAUUUUCUCCAGCCAUCCACCUACUGCUUACAACUUCCACCUCUCCCCGUCCCAAGAAAUCCACGACAUGGAAAAAUGAAUCACUUGAGGUGCAAUGUUCAGUGCAACAGAACUAUAUGUGACACAUGCAAUUUUCCUGAAGAAAGGAUCAAAAACAGGCAGGCUAAUAUACACUUGUGUUUGAAUACAAGCUCUAAUGCAAAUGCAGCAAUGGGGUUGCUGCCCAUCCAAAUCCAAGUGGAAGCAAAACAUAUUUUGCCUCAAUGUCAGAAAGCUUGUAAAGUUUGA
ensembl:lncRNA